GCGCCAUUCCAAAGGAACCACCGGAGCACUAGUUCGUCUGGCCUCCUCCUCGCGCAGCCCCUCGGAGGCAAUAGAGCCACCGAAGAAGAGCAGUCGCCGCCUCCCCUUGCCACUCCGGCAGUAGCAGGAGCAGGAGCUCCCGCAGCCGCGCACGCACUCGUGGAACUGCUCGUCCCUGUGCCAUCUCUCAUUCGCCUUGCGGGGCACACCCGGGGACCUCCUCGCCGGACCAACAAGACUGUUCCCUUCAUCUCCAUCCUCCCCCGAUCCCCUUUGUUUCCGUCCUUAACACCAAGCUCUCUCUCUCUAUCUCUGCAUGGAUAGGAGGAUGCCUAGCUUUCUUCGGUCGCCGUUCGAGACACCAUCAUCGUCGAUCUACGUGUACCUCCAGGACCCGCCCCAACACUGCUGCAUCCUCUUCUUCCACCCAGGAAGUUCGUGUCUUGCCCUCUACCUCCCUUCCACGCUCCUCCCCUCUCUAAUCCGGCCAUGAUCGCCAUGCACAGGCACCUCGAAGAUUGCCCCGUCGCGCUGGAGCUUGCUUGCCGCCGUGCCACAAGGCUGUCUCGCCUCGGAUCCAUCGAGAUCGGCAUCCUCUCCACCGAAUCGGGCUUCCCUCGCCCGUUCUCUGCCUCCUCUCGAUCCCGCGUCGACCAAGACCCCGGCCCUGACCUCCCCCACCGUUCCCAACAUUGCCAUGGCAGCGGUCUCUAUAUUCCCGAUAUGAGCACCUCCCUUCGUAAGUGAAUUUCGUUUUGUACUAGAUUCAUUCAGCACAUGAAGUUAAUUAGUGUAGCCAUUGCUUUACUGCACCAAAACAUAGCUAGCCGAGUUGGCUAACAAAGCCAGCAUCGCCGCAAGAGGUCCUAGGUUCGAGACCAAAGUUACAGCGCCAACGACACGUGGGACCCAGCCCCCCUAGUUGACCUUUCUACAUUGACUAUGUUAAUACCCCUAUGCCCACUUGCCAAAGAUAGUGGCUAUCACAAUCGGUGUCUAUUUGUUUCUUUUUUCAGUUUAAAACGGCCCAAUUUUAUAAAAUAAUUUAGAGUUUUGUAAGAUUCACGUUUCUUUUUUCAAUUUAAAACGGCACAAUUUUACAAAAUAAUUUAGAGUUUUGUAAAAUUCAUGUAAAUUCAACCGUGCAUCAUAUGAAAGACCUGCUAUGUAUGAAUUUUGCUUAGAAUUAUGUCUAGUUUAACAAUUUCCAACUUUCAUUUGUGUUUCAAAUAUUUAAUAAGCUGUUUUCAUUUAAUUUGCAUAAAUGCCAUGUCAAAACGAUUUAAUUCAUAUCUAAUUAACUAUGCCAUGCCAACGACACGUGGGACCCGGCACCCUAGUUGACCUUUCUAUAUUUACUAUGUUAACACCCCUAUGCUCACUUGUCAAUGAUAGUGGCUAUCACAGUCGGUGUCUAUUUGUUUCUUUUUUCAAUUUAAAACUGUCCAAUUUUACAAAAUAAUUUAGAGUUUUGUAAAAUUCAUGUAAAUUCAACCGUUCAUCAUAUGAAGACAUGCUAUGUAUGAAUUUUGCUCAGAAUUGUGUCUAGUUUAACAAUUUCCAACUUUCAUCUGUGUUUAAAAUAUUUAAUAAGUUGUUUUCAUGUAAUUUGCAUAAAUGCCAUGUCAAAACGAUUUAAUUCAUAACUAAUUAACUAUAGCCCCGAUUAAAAUGAUCCACAUAUUUAACUUGAUUCAUAAAAUGUGUAGAAUAACAUUGUGAUAUUUACUUUGUUGUUUAACUACUCUAAAAUUGUGUUAUAGGUAGAAUAAUACCGAAACCUUAAUUUGCAUAUGGCGACGUUCCGAGAUCGUGAUUUGUUGUUCCGGCCUCAUUUGAACUUGCAUAGAAUUUCAUGUGGUUUCAUAAUAUCCUGUUGCAUCCAUGCUUUAACAUGCUUGCGGCUGUCAUUUGCAUUCAUUUUGCAUUCAUGGCAUAUUAUUUUGUGAUGAUCAUAUCUUUUAGACCGUAGCUCCAUUUUAGAUGAUCUAUAUAUGUAAAUCGAUUAGAAUAACAUGUAGAAUCACAUGGUAUACUUUAUUUUGCUGUUUAAGAAUAUAUAAAAUGUGUUUAGUUUAGAUCUGAAGCAAUUUCUAAAUUUACAUAUGGGGUCACUUCGGAAAUACUAUAAGUUGCUUCCGACCUCAUUUAAAAUGCCUAGGUAGAUAGUUAAAUAUACUUCACCUCUUGCCAUGUUAAAAACAUUUAACAUUGUUGAGUACCUAACGGGAAUGAAUUAAGUAAUUUAAAUAUGGAGUUUCGUCCAUAUGCAACUGGCUGCAUAUUGAGCUUCAUUUAAUGUGUAAUGGUUGGUUGUUGUGCCUUGCCAUACCAUGCAUAAGUAAUUGAACAUGCAUCAUUUUAUUUGUGCAUCAUGUUAUGCAAAAGUGGUGGUGUUUAUCGUGUAUUGGUCGUUGUUUCCAGAUUGUUUCCUCUCGAUAGAGUCCCAAACCGCUUCAGAGUGUAAGCAUUUGUUCGACUACGUCGGUUCGUCUACUUCACAGAUUCGUUCUUCUUCCACGCGCGAUCAUAGGCAAGAUGAUCAUUUACCUACAUACCACUACGAUCAUUGCUAUGCUAGCUGUCUCAUUUAUAUCGCUAUGUCUCGCUGCCUAUCACCUGUUAUGUCAAGCCUCCCAACAUUGCUAUGAAAAGUUUCUAACCCCUUCACAUCCCAGCAAACCUCUAUCUGGUUAUGUUAUCGUUUGCUCAACCUUCUUAUAGCGUUGCUAGUUGCAGGUGUAGUUUCUUCCAUGUGACAACAUGGGUUCCUUUUAUAUCACGAUAUUAUUGCUACUUAAUUUAAUGAACCUAU
rnacentral:lncRNA from 1 species